AUUGAACGCUGGCGGCAGGCUUAACACAUGCAAGUCGAGCGGGGAGAUGUAGCUUGCUACAUUUCCUAGCGGCGGACGGGUGAGUAAUGCUUAGGAAUCUGCCUAUUAGUGGGGGACAACGUUUCGAAAGGAACGCUAAUACCGCAUACGCCCUACGGGGGAAAGCAGGGGAUCUUCGGACCUUGCGCUAAUAGAUGAGCCUAAGUCAGAUUAGCUAGUUGGUGGGGUAAAGGCCUACCAAGGCGACGACCUGUAGCGGGUCUGAGAGGAUGAUCCGCCACACUGGGACUGAGACACGGCCCAGACUCCUACGGGAGGCAGCAGUGGGGAAUAUUGGACAAUGGGGGGAACCCUGAUCCAGCCAUGCCGCGUGUGUGAAGAAGGCCUUUUGGUUGUAAAGCACUUUAAGCGAGGAGGAGGCUACUAGUACUAAUACUACUGGAUAGUGGACGUUACUCGCAGAAUAAGCACCGGCUAACUCUGUGCCAGCCGCCGCAGUAAAAC
rnacentral:rRNA from 1 species